rnacentral:tRNA from 1 species
GGGUCCGUAGCUCAGUUGGUUAGAGUACUCCCUUGACAUGGUAGGGGUCGGCGAUUCGAGUUCGCCCGGACCCACCA